GAUGAACGCUGGCGGCGUGCUUAACACAUGCAAGUCGAACGGUGAAGGCGGAGCUUGCUCUGCUGGAUCAGUGGCGAACGGGUGAGUAGCACGUGAGCAAUCUGCCCCUGACUCUGGGAUAAGCGCUGGAAACGGCGUCUAAUACUGGAUACGAGCUGCGAAGGCAUCUUCAGCAGCUGGAAAGAACUUCGGUCAGGGAUGAGCUCGCGGCCUAUCAGCUUGUUGGUGAGGUAACGGCUCACCAAGGCGUCGACGGGUAGCCGGCCUGAGAGGGUGACCGGCCACACUGGGACUGAGACACGGCCCAGACUCCUACGGGAGGCAGCAGUGGGGAAUAUUGCACAAUGGGCGAAAGCCUGAUGCAGCAACGCCGCGUGAGGGACGACGGCCUUCGGGUUGUAAACCUCUUUUAGCAGGGAAGAAGCGAAAGUGACGGUACCUGCAGAAAAAGCGCCGGCUAACUACGUG
rnacentral:rRNA from 1 species